rnacentral:siRNA from 1 species
UGAACCAAUGGUGUGAUGUC